GCAGCCGCGGUAAUUCCAGCUCCAAUAGCGUAUAUUAAAGUUGUUGCAGUUAAAAAGCUCGUAGUUGAAUUUCGGGAUCAGUACGCUGGUCGUGCCUCCGGUACGUACUGGUGUCACUGAUUCCUCCCUUCUGAAGAACCAUCAUGCCAUUAAUUUGGUGUGGUGGGGAAUCAGGACUGUUACUUUGAAAAAAUUGAGUGUUUAAAGCAGGCUCGCGCUUGAAUACAUUAGCAUGGAAUAAUGAAAUAGGACGUUUAUCCUAUUUUGUUGGUUUCUAGGAUUGACGUAAUGAUUAAUAGGGAUAGUUGGGGGCAUUAGUAUUCAAUUGUCAGAGGUGAAAUUCUUGGAUUUAUUGAAGACUAACUACUGCGAAAGCAUUUGCCAAGGAUGUUUUCAUUAAUCAAGAACGAAAGUUAGGGAUCGAAGACGAUCAGAUACCGUCGUAGUCUUAACCAUAAACUAUGCCGACUAGGGAUCGGAUGAUGUUUAAUUUUUAAUGUACUC
rnacentral:rRNA from 1 species